rnacentral:rRNA from 1 species
GAGCAGGUGCGAAAGCAGGUCAUAGUGAUCCGGUGGUUCUGAAUGGAAGGGCCAUCGCUCAACGGAUAAAAGGUACUCCGGGGAUAACAGGCUGAUACCGCCCAAGAGUUCAUAUCGACGGCGGUGUUUGGCACCUCGAUGUCGGCUCAUCACAUCCUGGGGCUGAAGUAGGUCCCAAGGGUAUGGCUGUUCGCCAUUUAAAGUGGUACGCGAGCUGGGUUUAGAACGUCGUGAGACAGUUCGGUCCCUAUCUGCCGUGGGCGCUGGAGAACUGAGGGGGGCUGCUCCUAGUACGAGAGGACCGGAGUGGACGCAUCACUGGUGUUCGGGUUGUCAUGCCAAUGGCACUGCCCGGUAGCUAAAUGCGGAAGAGAUAAGUGCUGAAAGCAUCUAAGCACGAAACUUGCCCCGAGAUGAGUUCUCCCUGAGACUUAAAGUCUCCUGAAGGAACGUUGAAGACGACGACGUUGAUAGGCCGGGUGUGUAAGCGCAGCGAUGCGUUGAGCUAACCGGUACUAAUGAACCGUGAGGCUUAACCUU